CAGGUAGGAGUCAUUUCCUUUAGCAAUCCGGCCAGUUACUUUCAUCAUCUUCCGUUCCCAUCCGAUUCCUACCUUGAAGCAUUUUGACCUCAGCCAUUGGAUCUUGUUACACCUUUGUCACUUGGACUAAAGAGACUUUUGAUGGCAAGCAGAUAGCAAUCAGGCAGCCAGCCCUUCCCAUGACACAGGACUUCCUUGGUGACAGCUGAAGAAUUCGCACUGAAUAUGUUUCCAGAUACAAGAGACUGCUCACACUAAAGAGACUGAUCGUAAGUGAUGAUUGUCACUUAACAUUAUGACAGCACUGAUCGAUUUUGAAUCUUCAGCCAUACAUCUAUGACAACAGAUUCAAGGAGAAGUGUUUUUGCUUGAAUCACCUGUAAAGAAGAGUUCUGUGGAAGAGCAAAUUCCGCAUGGAUAAGUGAAAGCGUCCAAAUUAGUAAAAUGGGCCUUAAUCCCCUGCAGAGAGUGCCAGUGAAGAAG